AAAAAAAAAAAAGAAGGAAUGUAAGUGUGUAGGCGAAUGAGGUUCAUAGGUAGAUUCUACAUCGUACGGGUAUCGAAUGAAGCGGAUGGACCAAGUAUGUAGCGGGGAAGUGAAUCGUGGCACGAAGGACGAGCGAGAGUGAAGAAGGGAAGUGAAAAAGGAGGCUGCAAAACGAGUUGGAGGUGAGAUGAGCUUUAUUGUCAAGUCACGCGGGCAUCGUGGCCUAUCUCUAUCUACCGUCGUCACCCCUUGUGCCGGCUUUCCUCUAUGACACCCCCUUACCGAGUGACGUGGACGCUACUGCCUCUUCCAUCAGUGGUCGUAUGUAAUGUGAGAUAAUAUGCCGCGAUCGAAGAAUUGCAAAUCGUUUUGAUCGCAACACGGUUCGAGUUGUGUCGACACUCGGAGGCCCGAUCCGAGAUUCGGUCGGAAACAAUACGACGAGCGAUUUGUGCUGGCGAUAGGUGAAGCCGGGGUGGGGAGAGGACUGCAUGAAUUUCAAUCGACAUCUUAUCUAGUACACGAGCGAGCUUCGAGUGCCGGUGGAUCGUGAUCAAGUGGACCUCCAUGGCGAGGACAAUACACGCUGCGCCCGACAAGUGACAAUACGCUAUCAGGGUCGUUCGAGGCGUAUUGCUCUUUUGUCCGAACUACUAUACCUGCCAUACGUACUUGAACAAGUUCAUGGAAAGUGUGAGGACUGACCCGGCCAUGGAUUACCAGUGAAGAUUGCCUGGAAGAAAUAUUUGACGAAAGAAGAUUUCAUCGAUGGUGAAUUUUGUAAUUUAAAUAAUCAAGAUAUAGAAAUUUUUCGGAGAAUAAAAAUUGAAAAUUGUGAAAGGAAGAACAUCAAAGAAGAAAUAUUAUUGAAGAGUAUUAAUAGAGAAAGAUAUAUUCUCUUGCUAGAGAAGAAUAACAAUCCCUCGAAUUCUCACUCCUCUGCAAGAUCAUUAUGGAAGCAAUUAAGUAAUGCACCUUGGGGAACCAAAUCCCUGCAGAAUCGAAGCAAAACGAAAACAUUGGAAGAUAAACGGGGAUCGAUAAAAAAUCGUCCAACAUCUAUUGAUUAAUUAUCUACCUCUCCAUUUCUUACAUUAAAAUAUAAUCGAUGGAAUUGUGAAAGACGAUCUACGUGCCAAGAAGGAAACAAAAAUACCAAGAGAAAUAGAGAAAGAAUAAAAAAAAAAAGAAGAAACGAAUGAGUGUCGCUAUGGAGAAAAUAGCCGAAGGAGAUCGAAUCGUGGUCACGUGCUCGAGGCAAUCCUCUCGAGACCUGGAUAAUAUCUAUUCGACGGACGUGUACGGGGAAUGUCAGCAGCUGUAUCCGUGAACAAUCAGAUCGAGGAUAUCCUGCAUCCCGAUUUCCCGUAACCCUACGCGCCAGACUCUGGCGAGGGUGAAUCGAGGGUCUCGGUCUUAUUGUCCCAUUUACACCACUUUCUUAUAUCUUGAGAAUAUUUUCUCAAUAUCUUUGUCGAUACGAUUUCACCCAAUUAUGACGAAAUUUGAACGAAGGAAGGAUUUAAAAAUUAAAAUUACAAGAAUUUGUGUUAAAAUUAUAAUAUUUGGUUAAUUGUUGCCAUUAUUCUAUAAGAAUUCGUGGAAUUACUUUUAGUUUUUAAGCGUACAUGUGCCUUUAAAGAUAGAUUAGAUUAAAUUAGGUUAGGUUACAUCGAUACUCUUUGUUUUGAUUCUUUCCAACACAAAUCAAAAUAUGUGCGUGCACGCAUACACAUUUCCUUGUCACAUAACCUUUUAUCUUCGCCACUCGAUGGAUAUUCAUUUAUAUAUAUAUACAUAUAUUUCAAUUAAAAAAGUGAAAUAAUAUGAUUUUUAAAUU